GACGAACGCUGGCGGCGUGCUUAACACAUGCAAGUCGAACGGAAAGGCCUGCUUUCCCUUGUGGAUUGCGUGUACUCGAGUGGCGAACGGGUGAGUAACACGUGAGUGAUCUGCCCCCAACUUGGGUAUAAGCCUGGGAAACUGGGUCUAAUUCCCGAUAGGACUGCAGGGUGGUGCCUGUGGUGGAAAACGAUUUUCUAGUGGUUGGGGAUGAGCUCGCGGCCUAUCAGCUUGUUGGUGGGGUAAUGGCCUACCAAGGCGGCGACGGGUAGCCGGCCUGAGAGGGUGGACGGCCACAUUGGGACUGAGAUACGGCCCAGACUCCUACGGGAGGCAGCAGUGGGGAAUAUUGCACAAUGGGCGGAAGCCUGAUGCAGCGACGCCGCGUGGGGGAUGACGGCCUUCGGGUUGUAAACUCCUUUCGACCGCGAGGAAGCCACCUGGUUGGAAGGGUGGUGACGGUAGUGGUAGAAGAAGCACCGGCUAACUACGUG
rnacentral:rRNA from 1 species